CUCUUUUUACUCUUCAAACUCGUCGUUUAUGCUUUCAAUUACUUCUACUAUUAUUUCUGUCAUAUUUUAUAUAUUUUUAAAAAUAUUCAUUUCAGGCAACUAAACAAGUCGAUUAGUUCGAACCUUGCAUUUGCUCAUGCGGUGCUAAAAGAGAGUGGGGCUGAGCUGGGAGCCAGUUGAACUCUGGAAGCGUACGUUGGAGCUUUCUACCUCACAUGAGAGGGACAACAAUACUUUUAGAGCAGUGCCUAGCACACCUUUGAUCUAAGUUCUCUUUUUUUUCAGUUCCUUGCUUAUAAAUUUUCCCUUCGGAUUUUGCUCAUGAUUAUUUUGUCACAUAAUUAGUUAUUGAUUUUCCAUUUUUUUAAUAUUUACGUCGAAUAUAUAAUUCAAAGAGUAAUAUGACCAUGGAAAAGAAAAGGUUAUUAAUCAUUCAGGCAUGUCUUAAUAGAAUGCAGCAUAUUGUUGUUGUGGAGCCAACUGAGCCCGUUUCCACCCGCAUUCACUUUACACUUGGGUCCACCGAACCCAUGGACAUCUGAAGUGAUUCAUGUAAAUCCCGACCCAUCUGGAGACUUGGGAGGAAUAGCGGUGGAGAUCGGCAACUGUUGAGGCGGUUAUAACCGCCUGACAGCCACGAUCACCACCACUUCUCCCUCCCCGCCGAGCCUAUAAGAACCCAAGGAUUCUUCUCUCACUCCUUCUCAUUCCCUUCUCCUUCUGUGCAAGGAAUCGGAUCGGGAGCGACUCCAUCGGAGUAGGAGGCUGAGGCACCGGGGGAAGCAAUCAAGCUACCGGAAGAGCUGCUCGGCUCCUCCUCGGAGCAAGAUGAAUAGGAGAUGCUAGGAACGAGGAGCGUGACAUGUUUCAGGGUUAUGGGGAAAAGAAAAUGACGCAUUAAAUGUUUCUAUUUUAGAUGCUUUGUAAUCAAUCUUUUAUUGAUGAAACAUUUGUUAACAUUCAAGAAAGAAAUUGUUCAUAAUUGAUUUAAAGUUUUUAAAGUGGCUGCGUGUUAUUGCGGGCAA